rnacentral:rRNA from 1 species
AUACGGAGGGGGCUAGCGUUGUUCGGAAUUACUGGGCGUAAAGCGCACGUAGGCGGAUUAAAAAGUUAGAGGUGAAAUCCCAGGGCUUAACCCUGGAACUGCCUUUAAAACUAGUAGUCUAGAGUUCGAGAGAGGUGAGUGGAAUUCCAAGUGUAGAGGUGAAAUUCGUAGAUAUUUGGAGGAACACCAGUGGCGAAGGCGGCUCACUGGCUCGAUACUGACGCUGAGGUGCGAAAGCGUGGGGAGCAAACAGGAUUAGAUACCCGAGAGUCC